UUCAGCCAUAGCGCCAUCUUCUAGGAACAACUGCGCCAUGAGAGCCAAGUGGAGGAAGAAGCGAAUGCGCAGGCUGAAGCGCAAAAGAAGAAAGAUGAGGCAGAAGUCCGAAUAAACCAGCUUGUGCACCCGUCGACGCCAGAGGAGCAGGAGGAAUAAGGAAUGCCAUAGCCUGGGACACUGAUAGGACUUUGACUGCAUGUUC